rnacentral:rRNA from 1 species
ACUCAAAUGAAUUGACGGGGGCCCGCACAAGCGGUGGAACAUGUGGUUUAAUUCGACACUACGCGAGGAACCUUACCUAGGCUUGACAUGCUUUUGACUGUCGUAGAAAUACGAUUUUCUUGGCUUCGGUCAAGACAAUUGCACAGGUGCUGCAUGGCUGUCGUCAGCUCGUGUCGUGAGAUGUUGGGUUAAGUCCUCUAACGAGCGCAACCCUUGCUGUCAGUUGCUAUUUGCGUGAGCAAAGCACUCUGAUGGGACUGCCUGGGAAACCAGGAGGAAGGUGGGGAUGACGUCAAGUCCUCAUGGCCUUUAUGCCUAGGGCAACACACGUGUUACAAUGGUUGGUACAAAGAGUUGCGAGCUCGUAAGAGUAAGCUAAUCUCGGAAAGCCAAUCUAAGUUCAGAUUGAGGUCUGCAACUCGACCUCAUGAAGUUGAAAUCGCUAGUAAUCGCAUAUCAGAACGAUGCGGUGAAUACGUUCUCGGGCCUUGUACACACCGCCCGU